rnacentral:rRNA from 1 species
AGCGAACGCUGGCGGCAGGCUUAACACAUGCAAGUCGAACGCCCCGCAAGGGGAGUGGCAGACGGGUGAGUAACACGUGGGAACGUACCCUUUGGUUCGGAAUAACUUGGGGAAACUCAAGCUAAUACCGGAUAAGCCCUUAUGGGGAAAGGUUUACUGCAGAAGGAUCGGCCCGCGUCUGAUUAGCUAGUUGGUGAGGUAAUGGCUCACAAAGGCGACGAUCAGUAGCUGGUCUGAGAGGAUGAUCAGCCACACUGGGACUGGGACACGGUGCAGACUCCUACGGGAGGCAGCAGUGGGGAAUAUUGGACAAUGGGGGCAACCCUGAUCCAGCCAUGCCGCGUGAGUGAUGAAGGCCUUAGGGUUGUAAAGCUCUUUUACCCGGGACGAUAAUGACUGUACCGGGAGAAUAAGCCCCGGCUAACUUCGUGCCAGCAGCCGCCGUAA